GGAAGGAUCAUUCACAAACGAGUGUUUUAUGGCACUCUUUAAAAAUCCAUAUCCACCUUGUGUGCAAUGUUUGUUGGGAAAGUCUUUUCUUUCCCUUCAUAAAUAUCAACCUAUAUCUUUAACAACAUUCGUCUGAUAACAUAUUAUGAAUAUACUUAAUUCAAAAUAUAACUUUCAACAACGGAUCUCUUGGCUCUCGCAUCGAUGAAGAACGCAGCGAAAUGCGAUACGUAAUGUGAAUUGCAGAAUUCAGUGAAUCAUCGAAUCUUUGAACGCAUAUUGCGCUCUUUGGUAUUCCGAAGAGCAUGCUUGUUUGAGUAUCAGUAAACACCUCAACCUCUCUUUUUUGAUAAAAAAAAGGGAGGGUGGACUUGAGCUAUCCCAACGACCUUCACCGGUAGGCGGGCGGCUUGAAAUGCAGGUGCAGCUGGACUUUUAUCUGAGCUAAAAGCAUAUCUAUUUAGUCCUCGUCAAACAGGAUUAUUACUUUUGCUGCAGCUAACAUAAAGGAUAAUUGUCCUCUUUGCUGACUGAUGCAGGAUUUUACGACACUUUAUGUGUUGUUCAACUCGAUCUCAAAUCAAGUAAGACUACCCGCUGAACUUAAGCAUAUCAAUAAGCGGAGGAAAAGAAACGGUAGCUAUACAUGACUCUGCUCCGUAGGUGAACCUGCGGAAGGAUCAUUGCCUUCGAAUGUACCCACAUCUGAGAAUCGUGUUUCGUGGCUUCGACGGGUUCGUUGCUUCGGGUUCUGAGUGUCCGUUUCCGUUUCGUCUCGUGUCGGUCCCAUUCGGGUCCGUCUCGUUUCGCUCGGUUCCGUAUUCUCGUUCCUUUCGGCUUCGGAUCCUCGGGGCGCCGUCCCGGCCUGGAUCUCCGGGUUCGGUUCGCGUCUUCGGUCGCGUUCCGCUCCCGGGUUCUUGGCUCCGGGCUCCGGCUUUUCUCGACUCACCCCCUCUCUGGUUGGCUCUGAAGUUUGACGUCGACUCGGCUUCGUCCGAUCGGCUUGAACCGAGACAACUCUUAACAAUGGAUAUCUUGGCUCUCGCAACGAUGAAGAACGCAGCGAAAUGCGAUACGUAGUGUGAAUUGCAGAAUUCCGUGAAUCAUCGAAUCUUUGAACGCAUAUUGCGCCCGAGGCUUGCCGAGGGCACGCCCGCCUCAGCGUCAGUGUUUCCCUCCCCUUCGAUCCCUUCGGGUUCGAUGGGUGGAUCUGGCCGUCCCGGAUUUCGAUUCGUUCGUUCCGGGUCGGUUUGAAGCGAUUUGCUAUCGUCCCAGUCCGCUUUCUGGGUUCACAUGGUAGGUGGCUUCAGCUGCGUCUUUGUGUUCCCUGGUCUGGUUCGUUGGCCCCGGAUUCCCUUGGUUUUGGGUUUCCACCUUUCGGUUUCCCCGCGUUCCCUUCGGGUUCGCGGCUUCCGAUUCCUGACUCUUGACCUGAGCUCGGACGAGGCUACCCGCUGAAUUUAAGCAUAUUACUAAGCGGAGGAAAAGAAACUAACCAGGAUUCCCCUAGUAACGGCGAGCGAACCGGGAAGAGCCCAUGUUGCGAAUCUGGCUGCCCCGCAGUCCGAAUUGUAGUCUCUCGACGCGUCCUCUGCAGUGGCCCGGGCCCAAGUUCCCUGGAACGGGACGUCAGAGAGGGUGAGAACCCCGUCGACCCCGGGUUUCACUGCUCCACGAGGCGUGUUCUUCGAGUCGAGUUGUUUGGGAAUGCAGCUCUAAGUGGGUGGUAAAUUCCAUCUAAGGCUAAAUACUGGCGAGAGACCGAUAGCGAACAAGUACCGCGAGGGAAAGAUGAAAAGAACUUUGAAAAGAGAGUUAAACAGUGCUUGAACUUGUUAAGAGGAAACCGACUAGUGGCCGUGGGUGCGCCCUGGUUUUUGGCCGUCCCCUGGGGCGGCUUCCUAACGCAGGGCGCUGGUCAGCGUGGGUUGGGUUCCGGGGACAAACGCGUCCUUUGUUGGGCGCCGCUGCCCGGUCCCCGACCGAGGUACGAAGCCUGCGCGCAAGCGACCUUCGGGAUCUGCAGGCUCGGGACGCUGGCGGAAGGUUACUACUCGACCCGUCUUGAAACACGGACCAAGGAGUCUAACAUGUAUGCGAGCCGGUGGGCGGCAAACCCAUGAGGCGCAAGUAACCUGACUGGUGGGAGUCCGUACGGACGCACCAUCGACCGACCAUGAUCUUCUGUGAAAGGUUUGAGUACGAGUAUACCUGUUGGGACCCGAAAGAUGGUGAACUAUGCCUGAGCAGGGCGAAGCCAGAGGAAACUCUGGUGGAGGCUCGUAGCGAUACUGACGUGCAAAUCGUUCGUCAGACUUGGGUAUAGGGGCGAAAGACUAAUCGAACCAUCUAGUAGCUGGUUCCCUC
rnacentral:misc_RNA from 1 species